GCAUAUUUUGCCCAGGCGGAGCUCGACCGCCACUGGAAGAAAUAAUGCCGUUUCUGGAAAAUCUAAGCGAUGAACAUGGGAUCGAGCCGAUAUGUCAUGAACUGGACAUAGCCCC
rnacentral:ncRNA from 1 species